rnacentral:rRNA from 1 species
GUUAUAGGGUCAAGCGAACAAGUGCAUGUGGUGGAUGCCUUGGCGAUCACAGGCGAUGAAGGACGCGGUAGCCUGCGAAAAGCUACGGGGAGCUGGCAAACGAGCUUUGAUCCGUAGAUGUCCGAAUGGGGAAACCCGGCCCUUUUGGGUCAUCCUAGACUGAAUACAUAGGUCUAGUGAGGCGAACGCGGUGAACUGAAACAUCUAAGUAACCGCAGGAAAAGAAAUCAACCGAGAUUCCCAAAGUAGUGGCGAGCGAAAUGGGAAGAGCCUGUACUCUUUAUUUGUAUUGUUAGCCGAACGCUCUGGAAAGUGCGGCCAUAGCAGGUGAUAGCCCUGUAGGCGAAAACAGUAUGAAAGAACUAGGUGUACGACAAGUAGGGCGGGACACGUGAAAUCCUGUCUGAAGAUGGGGGGACCAUCCUCCAAGGCUAAAUACUCGUGAUCGACCGAUAGUGAACCAGUACCGUGAGGGAAAGGCGAAAAGAACCCCGGGAGGGGAGUGAAAUAGAUCCUGAAACCGCAUGCAUACAAACAGUCGGAGCCUCGCAAGGGGUGACGGCGUACCUUUUGUAUAAUGGGUCAGCGACUUACGUUCAGUAGCAAGCUUAACCGAAUAGGGCAGGCGUAGCGAAAGCGAGUCCGAAUAGGGCGUUCAGUUGCUGGGCGUAGACCCGAAACCAGGUGAUCUAUCCAUGGCCAGGAUGAAGGUGCGGUAACACGUACUGGAGGUCCGAACCCACUAACGUUGAAAAGUUAGGGGAUGAGCUGUGGAUAGGGGUGAAAGGCUAAACAAACCUGGAAAUAGCUGGUUCUCUCCGAAAACUAUUUAGGUAGUGCCUCGUGUCUCACCUUCGGGGGUAGAGCACUGUCAUGGUUGGGGGGUCUAUUGCAGAUUACCCCGCCAUAGCAAACUCCGAAUACCGAAGAGUGCAAUCACGGGAGACAGACAUCGGGUGCUAACGUCCGGUGUCAAGAGGGAAACAACCCAGACCGCCAGCUAAGGUCCCCAAAUAUGGCUAAGUGGGAAACGAAGUGGGAAGGCUAAAACAGUCAGGAGG